ACAGUAGAGGUGCGGUCAUUAUGAGUAUUUUCCUGGAGUGGAUAGCGUUGAAGGGAAAAGAAAGGAAUGAUUGCCGAAAUCGAAUAAGAGUCGUUUUAUUCGGUUGGUUACGUCUUCGAAAGGAACGUGACUGUCAUAGUUUUUUUAUUAACUAUGGAGCGCUACGGU
rnacentral:ncRNA from 1 species